GGGGGAGCAUGUCAGUCAGCAUGAGUACGUUACCAAACUGUUGCCUCGGCGGGGUCACGCCCCGGGUGCGUCGCAGCCCCGGAACCAGGCGCCCGCCGGAGGAACCAACCAAACUCUUUCUGUAGUCCCCUCGCGGACGUAUUUCUUACAGCUCUGAGCAAAAAUUCAAAAUGAAUCAAAACUUUCAACAACGGAUCUCUUGGUUCUGGCAUCGAUGAAGAACGCAGCGAAAUGCGAUAAGUAAUGUGAAUUGCAGAAUUCAGUGAAUCAUCGAAUCUUUGAACGCACAUUGCGCCCGCCAGUAUUCUGGCGGGCAUGCCUGUCCGAGCGUCAUUUCAACCCUCGAACCCCUCCGGGGGAUCGGCGUUGGGGAUCGGGACCCCUCACACGGGUGCCGGCCCCGAAAUACAGUGGCGGUCUCGCCGCAGCCUCUCCUGCGCAGUAGUUUGCACAACUCGCACCGGGAGCGCGGCGCGUCCACGUCCGUAAAACACCCAACUUUCUGAAAUGUUGACCUCGGAUCAGGUAGGAAUACCCGCUGAACUUAAGCAUAUCAAUAAAGCGGAGG
rnacentral:rRNA from 1 species